rnacentral:rRNA from 1 species
CAGUCGCCACGGUAAUACGGAGGGGGCUAGCGUUGUUCGGAAUUACUGGGCGUAAAGCGCACGUAGGCGGCUUGGUAAGUUAGAGGUGAAAGCCUGGAGCUCAACUCCAGAAUUGCCUUUAAGACUGCCGAGCUAGCAGGUGAGAGAGGUAAGUGGAAUUCCGAGUGUAGAGGUGAAAUUCGUAGAUAUUCGGAAGAACACCAGUGGCGAAGGCGGCUUACUGGCUCAUACUGGACGCUGAGGUGCGAAAGCGUGGGGAGCAAACAGGAUUAGAUACCCCCGUAGUCCCUGUCUCUUAUAC